CCUACGGGAGGCGGCAGUGAGGAAUAUUGGUCAAUGGACGAGAGUCUGAACCAGCCAAGUAGCGUGAAGGAUGACUGCCCUAUGGGUUGUAAACUUCUUUUAUAUGGGAAUAAAACGUUCCACGUGUGGGAUUUUGUAUGUACCAUAUGAAUAAGGAUCGGCUAACUCCGUGCCAGCAGCCGCGGUAAUACGGAGGAUCCGAGCGUUAUCCGGAUUUAUUGGGUUUAAAGGGAGCGUAGGUGGAUUGUUAAGUCAGUUGUGAAAGUUUGCGGCUCAACCGUAAAAUUGCAGUUGAAACUGGCAGUCUUGAGUACAGUAGAGGUGGGCGGAAUUCGUGGUGUAGCGGUGAAAUGCUUAGAUAUCACGAAGAACUCCGAUUGCGAAGGCAGUUCACUGGACUGCAACUGACACUGAGGCUCGAAAGUGUGGGUAUCAAACAGGAUUAGAUACCCUAGUAGUC
rnacentral:rRNA from 1 species